AUUCGCAGCUUAUAAGGCGCGCU
rnacentral:misc_RNA from 1 species